AACUAUUAACAACGGAUCUCUUGGUUCUGGCAUCGAUGAAGAACGCAGCGAAAUGCGAUAAGUAAUGUGAAUUGCAGAAUUCAGUGAAUCAUCGAAUCUUUGAACGCACAUUGCGCCCUGUGGUAUUCCGCAGGGCAUGCCUGUUCGAGCGUCAUUAUAACCACUCAAGCCUGGCUUGGUAUUGGAGUUCGCGGUCUCGCGGCUUCUAAAAUCAGUGGCGGUGCCGGUUGGCUCUAAGCGUAGUAAUUUUUCUCGCUAUUGAGUUCCUCCGGUUGCUUGCCAGAACCCCCAAAUUUUUUAAGGUUGACCUCGGAUCAGGUAGGGAUACCCGCUGAACUUAAGCAUAUCAAUAAGCGGAGGCU
rnacentral:misc_RNA from 1 species